GACAUUAAAGAUGGCGGAUUCGACGUCAGUAAGAGAUGACAACGUGACAGACACAAUCCCAACAUCACCAAUGCAGCAAAAUGGAGUUCAGUCAACAUUCAUUUUAUUAUUAAAACCAGUGCAAAUGUCAAAAACACGAUUUGUUGGCUCAGGCCGAUGUAGUUCCCUGUUUUGCAACACCUAAAUUCAGCAUAAGCAUAAAUCUAAUCUGAACAGUGAAGUGAAAGCACCCCACAGGUGCCUUGACAGCUACACUCAGUAUUUUUUAGGUCACUAGACGGCAGCGUAACUCCAGAAGAAACUAUACUUUUUUUUUCUUGACGGGCUUCUUUUUUUGGCCAGCUUACUUGUUCAAGGAUUUACAAACCUACACCACAUCCAGCAGACGUGGAGCGACCUUAGACCUUCAUCUGGGUGCUGACUCCGCAGCUCAUUACAGGCCACCAGAGGAUCCUGUGGCCUCCAACUAGUGAGGAGGAAGACAAGUCCGUGACGCAGACAUAAAUGAAGGCUCUAGGAUUGAGAGGCUAUCUGCCAGGGUCCUGCUCGGCACACAGUCUACUGCCCUACAGCUUUAAACUGCUAACGCUGCUUCUGCUAGACUGAGGACUGGCUUUAAGAGAUUGCAGUGGUGGGAAGAGCAUCCUGCAUUCCUAUUGGUCAACAUUGCUGUAACAGAAGUUUUCAGACCAGGACCCAUUGACUACAGAGGGAGUGCUACUGAGAGGACAAGAGUGAGUGAAAGAUGGUGUUUAAGGGAAGACGGAGAGGAAGAAAAGAGGACGAGCAAACAAAGUAACAGAGAUGGUGUGAACCCCAGCGGAGUACUUCAUCAUGUUUUCAACCUGAGUCGGAGUCUUCCCUGUGGUGUGGAAGACAUCAUGCCUCGUUCCUGUCCCGAAGACGCCGCGUCCCGGCGACCCCGAGGACUACAGGCCUGUAGCUCUGACGUCACACAUCAUGAAGACCCUGGAAAGACUCGUUCUGCUCCGGCCCAUGGUGCAACCACUUCAGGAUCCCCUUCAGUUCGAUGCCAUCAUCUACCUGCUGAACAGAGUCUACACCCACCUGGACAAGCCGAC